rnacentral:lncRNA from 1 species
GGCGACUCUGUAAAUAAAAUAAUCCCUAUUCAAUAUUGUCACUUUAAUUAGAAAAAUCCUUCGACCUCGAUCCCUUCGGGCGAAAAAAGGGAUGUGACAUCUCUGGCGACUCUGCUGGGGAUUAAUAAGAAUUCGACCUUUUUAUAUUGACUUAUAUUUGCUGUAAUUAUUGUUGAUAUUGUGUUUGUUGACCUUAUGUGCUGCUUGUCGCUCAUUUACCACUUUGAUAUUGAUUGAACUGUGUUAUUUGGUGUGUUCUCUUGCGCACCCCCUCUGAGUCUCUGAAAUAGGAUAGAAGGAAUGCAGCGCAUGCAUCCUUCUUUCUUUUUGAGAUAGCCAGAGUGUGAAGGCACCUGGUGAAGGAUUAUAGUCACACAUGUUAGGCGGGGUUCAGAUCGGUAACGAAGGCGGUGUUGACCUGCUACCGACCAAGUUGUCCCUCCCCGGAUCAAGCGUCCGCUCGGGUAAGACAGUCUAGUUACCUAUCCCUAUUAGGAUUAAACUUAAAAGAACUGAAAACUCAGAAUCUGGUUAUCCCUAUUAAGUGCCGCUUUAUUUGCAUCAUAUGCAUUUGACUUAGCGAGACUCGGCUCAGGGGUCGGGUCUGUCUAGGACAGGUGACCUAGUUUAUAAAGACCAACAUGUGCAUCUUACAUGCUCUUUGACAUUUGUUUGGAAGACUGUUUGUUUGUUGACCGGCUUUAGGCAACUUUAAAAUGCAAGAGAAUAAAUUAUCCUCACAUUUAGUGAUUUUUUUUUUCUAAAAAAAAAGAAAAAAAUUAUUUUAAAAGAAAGAAAAAAUUUGAGUAACAUAGUUUUACGGUCUUCAUGAACUACGAGGGUCUGAUUCUCAUAUCUUAGUGGGAUACAUAGGAAGUCCUUCUCAGGAUACGACCCUAUCUUUUGAAAAUUAUUCAUAGACUUAUUGUGGAAUAUUUUGAAAAUAUGAUUACUUUCAUAACUAUUUGUAUAAUUGUCAAGUCUAAUUUAUAUAGUUAUAUAUAUAUAUCUUAAUAGCCAUGAAUCUUUAGGGAUCUUGAGGCUGAAUUUUGUACGACAUAUAUUUCACGAACUACGCACACCUGAUUCUCAUCUUAAUGAGAUAUGUAGGCGCCCUUCUAGGGUUCCGUGAUCUUUUCAUAAAGAAUAUAAAAGAAAAAGUGUUUUUGAAAAAAACAUUGCAUUCUGACGUCUUUGUUAUUUCUUAUCACAGUUAGUUUAAGGUGUUGGUUUGUAGUAUUUUGGCUGGUCCUCCAUAUCAUACCAAAUCUAAAUGAGGUUUAGCUGUGUCCAACAAGGAUAUAGAGAGUGACCUCAUGGAUCAAACAAAGAGUCAGGAAAAUGAGAGUUUAAAGGAAGAGAAUUUGAGACUAAGGCAACAAAUGAUGGAAAUGUAUCAAGCUUGGGCCAGUGGGCAUCCCCCUCCUCCGUUCCCCACUAUUAAAGACUGGGGCAUGUCUUCAAGUGUCAACUUUCGUCAAAGAUUUAAGAUAUCGAAAUUUAAGGAACAUGAUAGAGAUGAGGAUUCUGUGAAGCAUUUGGGAUGAUACUGCAAUCGAUCAAAGGAAAUUGAAAAAGAAAAGAAGAAGGAAAACGUAUUUAUUGUCAUGCCAGGCCCAAAGAAGAGUUUGAGAGGUUCAACCCACCAAUACUGUCAGCCUCAAUCCCGAGCUUACAUAUUAGAUCCACACAACCACAUGCAACGAGGAUCCUUUCUCCAAAAUCCAAGAAAUUUCAUUUCACUUCCUCAAUAUCCUUUGAACAAUGCACAGUCGUAUUCUCAUUCUUCUUUCUAUCCACAAUGGUGUGCCCCGAACCUUCGGCGUCAUCCUCGACACUCACAAAUUUACCAAGAAGACUCUAAAUCUAAUUUUCAUCCGAGGCCAGAGUUUGCAAUGAGGAGGCAGGCAAAGGAUAAUUUCACACCAAUUGGAGAGUCCUAUACCAGUUUGUUCCAGACAUUGAGGCAAUGGGGCAUGAUUACUCCCAUCCCUGGGUAUAUUCCCGAUCCACUUUCAAAAUAUUUUGAUCCUAAUGUAUGAUGUGCUUAUCAUUCUAAUAAGCAAGGUCACAAUACUGAAGAUUGUCGUAUUUUGAAAAGAGAAAUAGAGAAAAUGAUUCAAGAAAAAUUGAUUGUGGUGAAAAACGUUGGUACCUCAACCGUCCCACAGAGUUAUUCGCCAGCACGUGGUACUGCACGAUAUGUGGGAGACAAUGAAUCAAGUAUGGAGAUCCAUAACUUAUUUGUUAAAGGGAAUGUAUUUGAUCGUGGUGGAAGCUCUAGUCAUGUUGAUAUGCAAAUCAGUGGCUAAGUUGUCAGCCUGAGCAAUUGAGAAGUCACCCCUCUCCCUACUAGGAAGAGGUCUAGUAGUUUGUUUUCUUUUCUUUUCUGUUACCCAAAUUAUUUUAGGGUUGUAGUUUAGGACCUAUCUUGUCUGAUUUUCUUAUUGUUUUUAUUCAAAUCCUUCUAUGUUUCUAUCAACAAAUGUGUGUCCUUUUUAUUUUUUAUUAUAUAUUGUUUAGUUGUCUUUCUUUUCUUUAGAGAGCUCUUCCUAUGGUGAUUCUAGUGAUGUGAUAUGCAUGUUGAAUUCAUAAACUGAUCUUUAAAUCUAAUCUAAUCCUGAAACAUCUGACAAAGAAGACAGGGUUGAAAGAAAAAAGCAUGUAAGAAAAAUAAGUAAAGUGUUGAGAUGUUUUGGGGACCUAGUUACAUCCUCACUUGAAUGUUUUGAGGCAAUCACUUUGCGAAUAAAAAAAUGACUUGAUCUUCAAUGAUAAGGUUCAACUCAAACAGUUUUUAAUGAGAUCGACCAGCGGAUAUAAAGUUUCUAUUGGUAAGAAGCAAAAGGAAGUUAGCUAAAAAAAAGAGUCAUCUGUUGUGAAGAAAGUACAAUAUAAGUAGACCUGUAUAGUUUACAAGUUUAAAAGAAGUGACACAUGUGCAUGUGCUUAGUCACGGUCAAUAUUGAAAAGAUGCAUAUGAUCUUCGUGUUCCAUUCCUAGAUUGCAUGUUAUGUACUUGCGUUUUUAAGGAUUGAUAUGACGAAGACAUUUCAUUCUGCUAUCCAAAUGUUGUGUCAUCCUUUGUUAUCACUUUUGAGAUUUUGUUUUAUUUCUUUUAUAUCCAUCUUUUGGAAUCAAAAUAGAGUCUGCAAAAAAAAAAGAAUAGAGUCGGAAAAGUGUCAAGAAAAAAUGAAACUGGAAAAAAUAUCUCUUUCUCUCUCUCUAAAAAAAAUAGAAGAAAAAGAGAGAAAGGUCAAGAAAAAAAAAGAAAGAAAAUUAAGCAAAAGAACAAGAUGCCUGAACUACGUUUGACCUGAUUCUUGUUAUGAAAAGAUACAUAGGCAGCCCUACUCUGGGGUUCGGUUUAACCAAAAGAAAAUUCAAAUUACCCGGAAUGAAAUGAAACUGGGGUAAAGUUUAUUUUGUUUGAAAGAGUCGAUUCCAAAAGUUGUAUGUUUCACCCAACAUUAUGUAAAUUUUUGAGCCUCAUGCCUCCCUUUCUUUCUAACCUUUUCCAAAAGACAAGUUACAACCAAAGAAAGACCUUCAGAUCGAUCUUUGAGAAUGUCAAGGCUAAACAUGUUAUGGGUGCAUGAUGUUUCGUAUGUUGGGUAUUAUUUUUCAAAAAAAAAAAUGAAUGAUGAAAAAAAAUGAAUGAGUAACAAUGAGAGUGUUGUUGGUGAAAAUCCUUUUGGGCACCAUAAGGCGACAGUGAACUGAGAAAGAAAUAAAAAUGAGAUAGACAUUGACAAAAGCCCAUUGAGGUGCCACUAGUCGAAGGAGGAUUGUGAUUUAGAGGGAGCAUAUUCAAGAUUGGCUCAAUUUCAAGAUCAAUAAGUGGACAAAAGUUGAUAAUGAUUAGUAUGGAUAGAUCAGGUUGUUUAAUUCAAAAUGCAUGUCAUAAUUACUGAAAUCGGCUACCACACCCAAAUAAGUUUUCUUCUAUUUUUUUAAAAAGAUGCCUAUUGUUUUUCCCCUUUUCUUUUUUAUUUUUCUAUUUUUAAUUUUUUUUUGGCAUCUUUAUCAAUAAAUAAAAAUUAUUGUCAUUUUUCUCGUGUCUUUAAGUCGAGUCUAUGUCAAAAUAAUUGAGAAAAUAUUUUAAAACUAGCUACUAGCUUCUUCAAUUGCACAAAGCAAAACAAAAAACGAACACAUGAAAAAGACAUGAUUGUGAGCCGAAAUAAGGCAUGCAGAAAAGUUUUGUCAAUAGACGAGUCUGGAAAUUCAUGAAAAUACCAAGGUUUAAAGGGUUUAUUUGAGGAGCAUGGCAAAGCAAAGAUACUGUGUUUGUUUCAGAGUCACUUUUAAUAAUCUGAGUUUGGGUCAACGAUGCAGCCAGUCGGCGACAGAUGUUAAUGGUUGGAAGCUAGGUCAAAUGUGAAGAGAGCAAGAGUGAUUGCCACAGAAGCUAAAUCCACAAACCUGCCACCAUAUUUGAACUCACAAGUUUUCUUUGAUGAAACAGAAAACAUGCUACCUUCAAAUUAAGGACUUCAGAGUAUAAAUAUCAAGAGCUGUAAUGCCUCCUUUAUACAAAUGCAGGAAACAAUGCUGCUUCACAGGUUUGAUAAUCAAAUUAUGGUAAAAAUUCAACCCCUAGGAGACGCACUUCCUAGUUGGAAUAAGUCAGUUUUCAUUUGUUAGGUGACGUACUUCCUAACUUGAACAUUCACUCCUAGAAGAUGUAAUUUUUAGUCGAGUCAUCCUCGUGAUUCCUAUAAGACGUACCUUUUAGUCGAGUCAUCCCCUUGAUUCCUAUAAGACAAACGUUUUAGUCAAGUCACACCCCGUUAUUCCUAUAAGACGUACCUUUUAGUCGAUUCAUCUCCUUGAUUUCUAUAAGACAUACCUUUUAGUCGAGUCAUCUCCUUGAUUCCUUAUAAGAAAAACCUUUUAGUCGAGUCACACCACGUGAUUCUUAUAAGACGUAUCUUUUAGUCGAGUCAUUCCCAUUGAUUACUAUAAGACGAACCUUUUAGUCGAAUCACUCCUCGUGAUUCCUAUAAGACGUACCUUUUAGUCGAGUCAUCCCAUUGAUUCCUAUAAGACAAACUUUUUAGUCGAGUCACUCCUCGUGAUUCCUAUAAGAUGUACCUUUUAGUCGAGUCAUCCCCUUGAUUCCUAUAAAAUGAACCUUCUAGUCGAGUCACUCCCCGUGAUUCCUAUAAGACGUACUUUUUAGUUGAGUCAUCCCCUUGAUUCCUAAGAGACGAACCUUUUAGUCGAGUCACUCCUCGUGAUUCCUAUAAGACGUACCUUUUAGUCGAGUUAUUUCCCUUGAUUCCUAUAAGACGAACCUUUUAGUAGAGUCACUCCUCAUGAUUCCUAUAAGACGUACCUUUUAGUUGAGUCAUUCCCUUGAUUCCUAUAAGAUGAACCUUUUAGUUGAGUCACUCCCCGUGAUUCCUAUAAGACGUACCUUUUAGUCGAGUCAUUCCCCUUGAUUCCUAUAAGACGAACCUUUUAGUCGAGUCCCUCCUGAAGAAUGAGAAUUUAUUUUAUGUCCAAGACCCUCUUGAAGAAUGGGAUGUUAUUUUUCUGUUUGACCUUUUAUUUUGAGUUCAGAAACAUAUUUUGAAAAAUCAGAAAAGGGAAGUCCAAGAGCCCGCCUAAAGAACAGGAUGAAGAAGUAGCAAGUUCAGAAGCCCUCCUGAAGAAUAGGGUGAAGAAAAAAAGAAAGUCUAGGAGCCCGCCUAAAGAACAGGGUGAAGAAAAAUGGAAGUCUAGUAGCCCGCCUAAAGAACAGGGUGAAGAAAAAUGGAAGUCCAGGAGCCCGCCUGAAGAACAGGGUGAAGAAGCAACAAAUCAGGAGCCCACCUGAAGAACAGGGUGAAGGAAAAGCAAGUCAAGAGUCGCCUGAAGAAUAGGGUGAAUUUUCAAGUUCAAGUCACGAAGAUUAGAAUCAAGAUUCUAGAGAUUAUAAUUUUCACUUGUAUUUUUCAUUUUUUUUUAUUUUGUUAGUCAUUUGAAUGUAAAAGGCAGAAGUCGUUAACCAAAAAUUCGACGAAAUCUCACUCGACCUUUAUCUCUUUCUCUCACUUUUUACCUUUGAACUACAUGUGACCUGAUUCCCUUAAAACCGGGGAUAUAUAGGCGGUCCAAAACUAGGACUCGGUUACAUCUUUUUAUUUUAUUUUUAGCCUCAUUUUUAAAUAAUCGAAGGAUUAAAAAUCAUUUCUUUGUCUACUUCUUUGUAUGAAAACUCUUCGAGAUUUCACACAAAAAGGGGCAAAAUGUAGACACGUGAUUUUUGACCCUCCCGAGUUUUGACCUAUUUUUUUUUUUUACAUUAAAUAUUUAUUUAUGUCAAAAUAUUAUCUUUAGUUCUUAUUUAAUUUUUUUUAGUAGAUUUCAUUUUAAAAAAAAGUUCAAAAAAAUAAAGUUACAUUUUAAGAUUUAAAAAAAUAAAAUAAUACAAAAAAAUAAAAAAAUUCAAAAAAUAUUUUCUUUUAAUUUAGAUUUUUAUAAAUAAGCUAGUAAUUUUAUUUUCUCUUAAUUGUAUUUUUAUUUUAAAUUAGUAAUAUUUUUAUUCUAUGUUUCUUAAGUAUAAAAAUUAAUUAGUUAAUAUUUUUUUAUUAUUAAUAUUAUUUAUUUUUUUAUAUAAUUUAUUUAUUUAUUAAAAAAUGAGAUCAUUAUCCUAUUUAUAUAAAAAAAAUAUUCAAAAUUUAAAUCCUAAACUUCCUAAACUACUCCCCCCAAAAUCCUUCUAUAUAAGGACUCCCCAGCCCCAGGAAGCAGAAGUACAUUACAAUCUACACUGUUACUGCAAAAAAAAAAAAAACAGAAACUGAAACAGAGAGAACCUACUAUUCUCACACUGAGACUACAUCAUUAGAUACUGAGGAAAAAAAACAGUCAGAGUAAAAAAAAAUAGAGUGAGUGAAACAUUCAAAAUCAUUAGGAGAAAAACAUCAAAGAAAAGACAGAAAAGAAGAUUGAAAUUGAAAUUCAGGUUUUGUUCGAGUUACAGUGAUGACGUUUUGGCUUUGAUACUUGUGUUAAUAUGUAAUACAGGUUUUUAUCCCAUCUUGUACUAUAUUUCAUAAGUUUAUCGUGAAUUAAAGCAUGAAUUGUGUUAUUAAGUGCAUUUGUACAUUAUUCAAUAGGCCAGAAUGAUUGCUUAUAUGAGUUUUAUUAUCACGAAUCGCAUGUUUAGUUAUUUAUUAUUCAAGUUGAAGAAGUUAAGGAAUAUAUAUUAAAUCCUUCGUAAAUUUCAAACUUCAUGAGAUAUAAUGUUAAAUAAUCUAAUGAUUUCAAAUUAAAAUGGUUCUUCUUAAGUUAUGGAGUCAGAACUAAAUAUUGAUAGAAGUUUGAGAAAAUUGAUUCUUGGCCAUAUAAAUCGUUCGAUGUUUGUAGUUAUGGCAUUUUACGUCAAUGAAUUUAAGUUUCAAUUUUUAUUUUUCUUUACUCUUGUAGGUUGUUCGGGUAGUUGUUAGAGUGUUGUGUGUGCGUUGUUACUGUUGUCGUUGUUUGGAUGAUUUUUUUUUAUAUUAUUAUGUUAUAAGUGUGUGUUUUACUGUGAUAGUUUGUUUGGAUAGUUGACUGGUUAUUAUUAUAUUGUAUUAUUAUUCUAGAAGUAUCAGUUUGAUAUGUAGAAAAAUGUGGUCUUCAUGAUGAACUGCAUUAGUGCUAGGAUCGUGAUAAAAAUAAAUAAGUAAGAAGUAUUUGCAUGGCCAUAGAUUUUUUUUUAAUCAAAGUCAAAAAAAAAAAAAGAAUUUCAAAAGUUAUUUAUACUUGAAUAUGAAAAAUUUUAUUUACUUUUUUUUUUAUUAUUAUUUAUUUAUGUAGAAAGACUAUUGGACCUUUAACAAUUAAAAUCAUCAAACUGUUAAUUUUAGUUGACCUGACUUUUGACAAUUAGAAUACUAUUUUCAAUGUGAUUGAAAAAUAAUAAGGUGAAUGUUUGAUAUUCUGGGAAAUUAACGUAGGAAUUUUGAUGCAUAAUGGAUAAAUAAAUAUUUUCUUUCUUGUUGUUAGUUUUCAUAUUUUAUUGUAAUAGUUGGAUGUAUAUGUCUAAUAGAUUGGAUAAUUCUUAUAAUUUUAUUCGUGUUUUUUUCUUUUUCUUUUUUUUUUUAAGAAUUUUUAGUUUAAUAAUCAGUUCAUACAACUUUGGAUCGAGAAACGGAAUUUAUUAGCUAGUGUAAGUCUAAGUGAAACGGGUUGUAGAUUUACUUAAGACCCAUCACAAAUUUUAAAAUAAAAGAGAGCAAAAAUGAGGAUAAAAAUAAAAUUGUUUCGAGUUUAAAAAUAACAAAUUAACGUCUUUAAUGCUAGGCAAAUUCUUAGGCACGUUAAAAUAUUCGUCUCAAUAAAGAAUGCAGCGUACGCAUCUUUUUGAGAUAUUUAAUAAUUUGAGGAUGCAAUAUUGCACUUCGGCAAAGUUCAUCUUAAAAUUAAUUUUCACCAGUUUAAAACAAGAGUUUUAAAUGAUUUUAGUAUAGUAAAAUGAGCGAUUUUAGGGCCUACUAACAUAAUUAUCAAAAUAGUUUAAGUCAUGAUAAGUUAAUAAAAGCGAUCGUGAUAGAACCACGGGACUCGAGGGGUGCCUCAGACCUUUCCCUCGGUCAAUAGACUUCCUUACCCGGUCUUCUGUUUUCGCAGACCAACAAAGAGUCAUUUCUUUUUGAUUAGGGAUUCAAUAAGGUAACUUGAAACACCAUAACUCAAUUUCAAGUGGCGACUCUGUAAAUAAAAUAAUCCCUAUUCAAUAUUGUCACUUUAAUUGAAAAAAUCAUUCGACCUCGAACCCUUCGGGCAAAAAAAAGGGUGUGACAGCAUGCCCUAACCUCGGGCUCACCCUUGGAAUCGUGGGCUGUAGCACACCGAUUUGGCUCGAAUACGACCCGUUUGCGUCAUUGCACCUGUUUGAUCACCCAAAUUGACCUGCUAAUCCCAACAACCCACACUAGAAUGCUUCCCAACCUCUCUGGCAUUCCCCGAUCAAUUUUUAACCCACGGCAAGCCCAGACCCUGAACCCA